UGACGAGGCACUACGGUGCUGAAGCAACAAAUGCCCUGCUUCCAGGAAAAGCCUCUAAGCAUCAGGUAACACGAAAUCGUACCCCAAACCGACACAGGUGGUCAGGUAGAGAAUACCAAGGCGCUUGAGAGAACUCGGGUGAAGGAACUAGGCAAAAUGGUGCCGUAACUUCGGGAGAAGGCACGCUGGUGCGUAGGUGAAGUGACUUGCUCACGGAGCUGAAACCAGUCGAAGAUACCAGCUGGCUGCAACUGUUUAUUAAAAACACAGCACUGUGCAAACACGAAAGUGGACGUAUACGGUGUGACGCCUGCCCGGUGCCGGAAGGUUAAUUGAUGGGGUUAUCCGUAAGGAGAAGCUCUUGAUCGAAGCCCCGGUAAACGGCGGCCGUAACUAUAACGGUCCUAAGGUAGCGAAAUUCCUUGUCGGGUAAGUUCCGACCUGCACGAAUGGCGUAAUGAUGGCCAGGCUGUCUCCACCCGAGACUCAGUGAAAUUGAAAUCGCUGUGAAGAUGCAGUGUACCCGCGGCAAGACGGAAAGACCCCGUGAACCUUUACUAUAGCUUGACACUGAACAUUGAGCCUUGAUGUGUAGGAUAGGUGGGAGGCUUUGAAGCGUGGACGCCAGUCUGCGUGGAGCCAACCUUGAAAUACCACCCUUUAAUGUUUGAUGUUCUAACGUGGACCCGUGAUCCGGGUUGCGGACAGUGUCUGGUGGGUAGUUUGACUGGGGCGGUCUCCUCCUAAAGCGUAACGGAGGAGCACGAAGGUCAGCUAAUCCUGGUCGGACAUCAGGAGGUUAGUGCAAUGGCAUAAGCUGGCUUGACUGCGAGCGUGACGGCGCGAGCAGGUGCGAAAGCAGGUCAUAGUGAUCCGGUGGUUCUGAAUGGAAGGGCCAUCGCUCAACGGAUAAAAGGUACUCCGGGGAUAACAGGCUGAUACCGCCCAAGAGUUCAUAUCGACGGCGGUGUUUGGCACCUCGAUGUCGGCUCAUCACAUCCUGGGGCUGAAGUAGGUCCCAAGGGUAUGGCUGUUCGCCAUUUAAAGUGGUACGCGAGCUGGGUUUAGAACGUCGUGAGACAGUUCGGUCCCUAUCUGCCGUGGGCGCUGGAGAACUGAGGGGGGCUGCUCCUAGUACGAGAGGACCGGAGUGGACGCAUCACUGGUGUUCGGGUUGUCAUGCCAAUGGCACUGCCCGGUAGCUAAAUGCGGAAGAGAUAAGUGCUGAAAGCAUCUAAGCACGAAACUUGCCCCGAGAUGAGUUCUCCCUGAGACUUUAAGUCUCCUGAAGGAACGUUGAAGACGACGACGUUGAUAGGCCGGGUGUGUAAGCGCAGCGAUGCGUUGAGCUAACCGGUACUAAUGAACCGUGAGGCUUAACC
rnacentral:rRNA from 1 species